rnacentral:rRNA from 1 species
GUGGAUUAGAUACCCUGGUAGUCCACGCAGUAAACGUUGUUCACUAGGUGUAGUGGGUAUUGACCCCUACUGUGCCGCAGCUAACGCAUUAAGUGAACCGCCUGGGAAGUACGGUCGCAAGAUUAAAACUCAAAGGAAUUGACGGGGGCCCGCACAAGCGGUGGAGCAUGUGGUUUAAUUCGACGCAACGCGAAGAACCUUACCUGGAUUUGACAUCUCGGGAAUCUUUAUGAAAGUAGAGAGUGCCUUUCGAGGAACCCGAAGACAGGUGCUGCAUGGCCGUCGUCAACU